AACCCCCUGAAAUCUGGAAAUCAACUUGGCGGUAGAUAACAGAUAUUCAGAGGGUCAUAAAGCAGGCACUGGCCUGCUGAGGAUUAUAGCAAAUGCAUAGCUUUAAACAACCCCCUUAUACCGUCAUA
rnacentral:ncRNA from 1 species